rnacentral:lncRNA from 1 species
UGUUUUUUUCUUUCACAGAUGGAAGCAAGUGGAGAACAGAAAGGGCACACAUGCACAGAUGAAACUGCUAUAUGUGAUGGCUUAUACAAUGCAGUCACAGUCAAAGAAAAAGAGCCUGUAUCUUAUGAGGCAGUGGCUAGUGGCACUGAUGAUUGGUGUCAGAAAGGGGGCAAAGAAGGCAGAAAGAAACAAAAUUGAACCACAUGGAAAGGCUCACUUUGAACAGGACACAAGCUGAAGACAAAGGAGGAAUGGUAGUGACCCUACUUCCUGAGGCUUAAGCAAACUAUAUGGGAUCACCAGAGAAGGGCAAGGCUGAUUGAU